rnacentral:rRNA from 1 species
UACGGAGGAUGCGAGCGUUAUCCGGAUUUAUUGGGUUUAAAGGGUGCGUAGGCGGGAUGCCAAGUCAGCGGUAAAAAUGCGGUGCUCAACGCCGUCGAGCCGUUGAAACUGGCGUUCUUGAGUGGGCGAGAAGUAUGCGGAAUGCGUGGUGUAGCGGUGAAAUGCAUAGAUAUCACGCAGAGCUCCGAUUGCGAAGGCAGCAUACCGGCGCCCUACUGACGCUGAGGCACGAAAGCGUGGGUAUCGAACAGG